rnacentral:rRNA from 1 species
GACGAACGCUGGCGGCGUGCUUAACACAUGCAAGUCGAACGAAGUGGCGAACGGGUGAGUAACGCGUAAUCAACCUGCCCUUCAGAGGGGGACAACAGUUGGAAACGACUGCUAAUACCGCAUAAGGCAGGAGGGGAUUGCGUCUGGUUAGCUCGUUGGAGGGGUAACGUCCCACCAAGGCGAUGAUCAGUAGCCGGUCUUGGAGGAUGCACGGCAACAUUGGAACUGAUACACUGCCCAGACUCCUACGGGAGGCAGCAGUGGGGAAUCUUCCGAAAUGGACGAAAGUCUGACGGAGCAACGCCGCGUGAGUGAUGACGGCCUUCGGGUUGUAAAGCUCUGUUAAUCGGGACGCGGUACCGGAAUAGAAAGCCACGGCUAACUACGUGCCAGCAGCCGCGGUAAUUC